rnacentral:misc_RNA from 1 species
AGCGGGAUACUGGCGAUAUGGUCGGCACAAGCUGGGGCGAGGAAGGUGUAUGCGGUGGAGGCGACUAAGAUGGCGGAUCAUGCGCGGGCACUCGUUGCGGCGAAUAGUGUGGGGGAGGUGGUUGAGGUUAUUGAGCAGUCCAUGGAGGAUGUCGUGCUACCGGAGAAAGUUGAUGUUAUUAUAUCGGAGUGGAUGGGGUACUUUCUCCUGCGGGAGUCGAUGUUUGAUUCGGUGAUAUGUGCGCG